rnacentral:rRNA from 1 species
UACGAAGGGGGCUAGCGUGGUUCGGAAUUACUGGGCGUAAAGGGCGCGUAGGCGGUGUGUCAAGUCAGGCGUGAAAGCCCCGGGCUCAACCUGGGAACAGCGCUUGAGACUGGCACGCUCGAGUUCGGGAGAGGAUGGUGGAAUUCCCAGUGUAGAGGUGAAAUUCGUAGAUAUCGAGAGGAACACCGGUGGCGAAGGCGGCCUUCUGGACAGUGACUGACGCUGAGACGCGAAAGCGUGGGGAGCAAACAGG